ACUUAUCCUUUGGUUCUCUCUUUUUAUUUCUUAUCACUCCGUCUCUCUCUCAUCAGUUCAUAAUCUCAUCUCUCUCUCCUCUCUCCUCUCAAACCUUUCCGUCUUCUCUCUUCUCUCUCCUCACACCUCUCCCACGUUUAUCUCUUCUCUCUCCUCACACCUCUCCCAGUUCAUACUCCGUCUCUCUCUCAUCAGGUCAUACAAAAAAUUUAUUCCUCACCGCCAUGAGAUCUGGAUUUUUUAUUCAUCACAGACGGUGAUUUUUUUUUUUUUUUUGUGUGUUUUCGGUGGGUUUAUUAUGGGAUCUGGGUUUCGGUUGGUGGGUGCUCUCUCUUUCUUUCAGAUCUCAAAAAAUCAGGUUUGUUCACGAGUGUUAGCAAGCGAAGUGAUAGCUACUGCACCUUUUACCAGCGGCGGAGCGGUAGCUGAAGCGGCGGUGAGGUUUCUGGUGAUGCGGUGGCUGGCGCGGUGGUGCAGUACCUUGGCAGUGGGUUCGACUACUAUUAGAUUGAAGUUGUAUUAGAUUUUAGUUACAAUGUAAUUAUAUUAUUAUAGUACUAAAUUUUGGUAUUUGAUUGUAAAUAUAUAUAUUUAUUUUAAAUAAAAUUCUCAUUUGUUUAAUUCUCAA